rnacentral:rRNA from 1 species
UACGUAGGUGGCAAGCGUUGUUCGGAUUUACUGGGCGUAAAGGGCGCGUAGGCGGUCAGCACAAGUCAAUUGUGAAAUCUCCGAGCUUAACUCGGAAAGGUCAACUGAAACUGUGCGACUAGAGUGCGGAAGGGGCAACUGGAAUUCUUGGUGUAGCGGUGAAAUGCGUAGAUAUCAAGAGGAACACCUGCGGCGAAGGCGGGUUGCUGGGCCGACACUGACGCUGAAGCGCGAAAGCCAGGGGAGCGAACGGG